UCCUACGGGAGGCAGCAGUGGGGAAUUUUGCACAAUGGGCGCAAGCGUGAUCCACCCAUCCCGCGUGCAGGAAGAAGGCUUUGGGGUUGUAAACUGUUUUUGUCCGGAACGAAACGGCUCUUUCUAAUAAAGAGGGAUAAUGACGGUACCGUAAGAAUAAGCCCCGGCUAAAUACGUCCCAGCAGCCGCGGUAAUACGUAGGGUGCAAGCGUUAAUCGGAAUUACUGGGUGUAAAGCGUGCGCAGGCGGUGAUGUAAGUCAGUUGUGAAAUCCCCGGGCUCAACCUGGGAACUGCAUCUGAGACUGCAUCGCUGGAGUACGGCAGAGGGGGGAGGAAUUCCGCGUGUAGCAGUGAAAUGCG
rnacentral:rRNA from 1 species